rnacentral:lncRNA from 1 species
AUUUCCUGCCAGGGCCUGUGGUUGGGCUCUGGAAGGUAUCCUGCUUUUCCUGGCAGAUGUUGACAGCUCCAUUCACUUUCUUUCUUGAUGCCUUUUACCAUUUGCCAGGCAUUGCUUAUCCAUCAGCCCCUCUUCUCCCCAUUCUUAUCCACUAAAGUUUAAGGUAGUAGGACCUGUUUUUGUUUGAUUUUCUUGGGUUUCUUAGGAGUAAAAAGCAAAAGUGUGUCUCCCUCUUUCCCUAUUUCUCUGUCCCUGUGUGUCUCUCUGUGUCUCAGUCUCUCUCCCACUCCCAACCCUUUCAUUCCCGGUCUUUCUUAGUGUUUAACUUAAAACGUGCUUUGCCUUCCUCUUGGCUGUGUGCAGGUGUUUUCUAAUUCUGCAAACACAGAGAGUAUAAAGAGACUCCAACCCCAGAAGUUACUGUUAAAUCAUCAACCUCAAAUAAUCACAGAAUCAUAAUCUCAGGAAAAAAUAAAGUGUUAGGUGUUUUGCAAAUAUUUACUAAAGAGAGGAAUACUUUAUUUUUAAUAAAUAAGCUAAUUCCAGUGCUCUCUGGAUUCUUAGCCUUGACCUCCUGUGAUAUUCAUGGGCACUUUCUCCUGUAGGGUUUGUAUAUAUUAAACUUUCAAGGCAACGAUGUCAAAAAUAGGUCCAGCCAAGCUCAUAAGAGUUGGCUGUUAAAUUCUUUUUGGAAAUAUAUAUAUAUAUAUGAAGGCACCUUUCUUUAAUAAACUUCAGAAGCCAAUAUUUUGAGAGGCUAUUUCUGGAGUCUGGACAGUGGCCUUUGUCUCUUAGUUGGUCCUUCCAGUGUGAUUUUUUUUUUCAAGAUCAUAUAAAUAACAGCAAAGGUUUGCCACACUAUAACCUGGAUAAUGUAUAUUUUAAAUAAAUCAUAUUUCAUUGUGUAUUGUCUUACUUUGUCUCCUUUUCCCUGUGGAUUUUACUCUGGGCCCCCAGCCUCUGGAUACUGCCUCCUACAUUUAUCAUUGGUCUUCCCCCUUGAGCAAAGCCUCUCUGGAAAUGCCCUUACACACACACACACACACACACACACACACACACACACUGGCAUAUACCUCACCAGUCUCCUAGGUUCUUCUCUAUGCAGUCGAGCUGACAGUCAGGAUCAACCAUCAUAUACAGACAGGUACAUGUGUAAACCCAUGUGCCGAGGCCAUCACUGUGCAUAAAGGUUGCCUCCUUAUCCUUGGUCAACAUCACUUCUAAACUUAUAGCCCAACUGAAAUAAUCUACCACCAAAGUGGUUAGAGUCCAUUGCAGGGAUAUUCUUCAGGAAACGCCUAAUCAAAUUCACAGAAGUUCGGCAAAGUGACAAUUUGGUGAGGGACAUCCACGUCCACUGUUUAAAGCAUAUGUAGGGUGGGGGAAAUAAGAAGAUAUAAGAAGAAGAAGAAGAGCAGAGGACUUGUGGGGUGCUGAACCCCCUACCAGCUUGGCUGAUCUACUUGUCUGUGAACCUGGAACAUAAUGAUGACUGAAUUUCAGGUGCCCAGGCAGAGAGCCAGCGACUAAACACACAGCAUGGCGGUUGGGUUGACCUUUAGCCCACCCCUGUGUGAGAUCAAGAUAGGCAGUCACAGACCUGAGGGACCUGCAAGGAAAAAGAGAGGAAUCAGCAUGGGGCCACACAGCACAGUGCCUUCCUCAGUGACGGGUGGCUUCCUUAAGUGCAAGAACUAUAUGACACCAGUCUGUUCUGAUAGACCUUUCUUAAUAUGAGCAUCAUCUGUUUCCUUUAAGCAAUAGUCACACAUCUUGUGGGAGCCAAGGCUGAUAGACAGCAUGCUUUCAGCCCUGUGCCUCUUUCCUUACUCCGUUUGUUACCCAGAGUUCACGGCUAACCAACCCCUUGGAGACUAGUGUGCUCUUCCAGUAUGCGGCUGCAAGAUCUCAAAAUACUGUUGCCAAGUAAGGUGUGCAGGUGCAAACCUGUCCUCCCAGCAGUUGGGAGACUUGGAUGGGAGGGUCAGGAAUUUGAUGUCAGCCUGGACUACCUGGUGAAUUCCAGGCCAGUGUACCCAUAAUGGCAUACGACUUCAAACAGAACACGGGUUGGAUGUGUCUCAAUGUUACAGUUACUCAUCUAGCACACACAAGCCCCUGGGUUUGACCCCCAGCAUACACAGACAAACGUUGUUGAAUUUAAAUGGGAGGAGACAAAUGACUACUUAGAGUGAUGUCCCAAAGUUCUACCUUACAAAAUAAACAAAAUAGAGCAGGAAAAGCAUUCUGGAAAUGAGAGUCUCUCUUCUCUCAUGUAGGUGAAAUUACCUAAGAUGGCAACUAAUGGAGAUAUUUCUGAGAAGAAAAAAUAUAUACUUAGUUUGAUAAAUUCUUACUAUCUUUUUGUAGGACCAUUUACUUGUAUGCAACCAAAAUGUAAGGUAUAUCGCUCUUGACCAGAUAUUUAUUUGGGUGCAGGUUGUUAUUGUCCCAUUAUUAGCAAACCAGUAAGUUAAGUGACAGUCCUCUUGUAUGAUGGUUAGCUUGACACAAUGUAGAAUCGUUUGUGUCAAUAAGGGAUUGUCUAGAUCAGUUUGGUAAAUGGACAUGCCUAUGGAUGGGAUUAUCUUGAUGAUAUUAAUCAAGACCUGCUCACUUUGGGUGGCAUCAUUCUCUAGGCAGGGAACCCUGAACUGUGGACGAGUGGAGAAAGUAAGUUGAGCAUAAAUAAGCAUGCAUGAAGUUAUCGUUCUCUUCUCUUGACUCUGAAUGUAGUAUGACUCACUGUUUCAAGUUCCUGCCAUCUUGUUUUCCACGCUGAGAGAUGCAGUCUAUUCUAUACUUGUAAAUUGUAAUAAAUCCUGAGUUGUUUGAUAUAGGGUGUUUUAUCACAAUGACAGAAAUGAAACUAAGACAUUUUCUAACAUAAGCUCACUAGGCCUAGAAAAUUAUCUCUGCUGUAUUUUUAGGUAAAGACACAGUAUAAACCAAUAUAUGGUGUGUGUGUGUGUGUAAGUGGGUGCAUGUUUUGAACAUACAUAUGGAUGUGUAUAAGUAUGUAUGUUUAUAUAGCUAUAAGAAUUUCAAACUGCUAUGUGUAUUAAGGUAUGUGAGUAGAAAUGCAGAUGCCAAAUCAGUAAUAUUUUAUACCCGAAGAAGUAUAAGUGAAUGAGGGGAGGAAUUGCAGGUACCUAAGCCAGGUGUGGUGACACAUACCUCUAAUUCCAGAAUUCAGAAGAUACAGAUGCAAAGACUAUGAGUUAAAAGCCAGCCUGGGCAUUGUCAGAGACUCUGUCUCAACAAAAU